rnacentral:rRNA from 1 species
GAUGAACGCUGGCGGCGUGCCUAAUACAUACAAGUCGAGCGAACAGAUGAGGAGCUUGCUCCUCUGACGUUAGCGGCGGACGGGUGAGUAACACGUGGAUAACCUACCUAUAAGACUGGGAUAACUUCGGGAAACCGGAGCUAAUACCGGAUAAUAUAUUGAACCGCAUGGUUCAAUAGUGAAAGACGGUUUUGCUGUCACUUAUAGAUGGAUCCGCGCCGCAUUAGCUAGUUGGUAAGGUAACGGCUUACCAAGGCAACGAUGCGUAGCCGACCUGAGAGGGUGAUCGGCCACACUGGAACUGAGACACGGUCCAGACUCCUACGGGAGGCAGCAGUAGGGAAUCUUCCGCAAAGGGCGAAAGCCUGACGGAGCAACGCCGCGUGAGUGAUGAAGGUCUUCGGAUCGUAAAACUCUGUUAUUAGGGAAGAACAAAUGUGUAAGUAACUAUGCACGUCUUGACGGUACCUAAUCAGAAAGCCACGGCUAACUACGUG